rnacentral:lncRNA from 1 species
AUGACUCCUGUAUAAAUUGAUCACAUGUCCGAUUAUAAUCGAUAAGUGUUGGAUUAGAAAUGAUAUAAAGUUUUAUUUGGAAUAUUUAUUAUGAAAUUAUGAUUAUCGUUAUAAUACAAAAAUUGAACUUGUGAGUUUAUAUGGCUAAAUUUUGGUGAUUAUUUGUUAAUUUUAUGAAUUUCAUGAUGUGUUAUUUCAUAUGUAUUGAUGAUAAAAUCGUGAAUAAUGUAAAAGCAUGAAAAUUGAAUAAAUGAUCAAAUUGAGCAUUUCAGUUCAGUGACAAGAUUAAUUGAAGGAAAAGACCAUGGUUGGACCAUGGCAACAAGUGAUAAGUGAUAGCUUCGGCUACACUUAUCUGAUCAAGGACAAAUGACAAGUGAAAAGUGGUAGCUUCAGCUACCUGAUCAGUGAAAAGUGGUAGCUUCUGCUACCUGAUCAGUGAAAAGUGGUAGCUCCGGUUACCUGAUCAGUGAAAAAUGGUAGCUCCG